UGUGCUGCAAAAUGAUGAAUCACUUGGAAUAUUGGAAGUUGAACUUGAAGACUAAAUCUAGUGCUCUCUCUAACCUAACAGAGUGUGGAUAAAUAUAGUAACUCCAAGUAUCUGUACAUGCACAUAUAGCAUACACCAUAUUGUAACAUGAGAUUGAUAAACGAAUUUCUCAAUUACAUUGUAAUACUUUCCGCUUUGCAUAGCAGAGCCAAGCCAUGGCGAAAUGGAGAUUGGAUGUGCAAAAAUUGCAACAAUCAUUACUACGCAUCUCGAGCAUGGUGCAACAGGUGUAAGACGCUAAGAGACAUGGUUCCUUAGCCAGUCAAUGUCUUAUAGCUGUGAAUUUCUAGAGGAUCUAGAGUUUUGUAGCUUGCAAUGCCCUUCGUUUGAGGUUCUGUUUCAGUUUUGUGCAACAUCUGGUUUUAGAAAAAUGCAAGUCGUAUAGGCGUACAUUAGGACAUUAGGCACUAGAAAUUAGCGGUGGUGAUAUUGAAGGACAAAGAACAUAUUCAAAGCUUGCUUGUUUUCAUAUGUGAUCGAUAGCAGUGAGAACAUGCGUGCGUGUUGAGAGAGAAAUAGAGGGAGAGAGAGUUCCAUUCCAUAUUCAAAGCUUGUUUUCUUUUCUCAACUGGAGUAAUAAAGUUUCAUUUGUUGGCUUGA